rnacentral:tRNA from 1 species
GGGCCUAUAGCUCAGUUGGUUAGAGCAGCGGACUCAUAAUCCGUUGGUCACAGGUUCGAGUCCUGUUGGGCCCA